rnacentral:rRNA from 1 species
GGUGUGGGGAGCAUUCCACGUUUUCCGCGCCGUAGCUAACGCAUUAAGUGCCCCGCCUGGGGAGUACGGCCGCAAGGCUAAAACUCAAAGGAAUUGACGGGGGCCCGCACAAGCGGCGGAGCAUGCGGAUUAAUUCGAUGCAACGCGAAGAACCUUACCAAGGCUUGACAUGCACUGGAUCGCUGCAGAGAUGUGGUUUUCUUUGGACUGGUGCACAGGUGGUGCAUGGUUGUCGUCAGCUCGUGUCGUGAGAUGUUGGGUUAAGUCCCGCAACGAGCGCAACCCUCGUUCCAUGUUGCCAGCACUUCGGGUGGGGACUCAUGGGAGACUGCCGGGGUCAACUCGGAAGAAGGUGGGGACGACGUCAAAUCAUCAUGCCCCUUAUGUCUUGGGCUUCACGCGUGCUACAAUGGUCGGUACAAUGGGUUGCGAUACUGUGAGGUGGAGCUAAUCCCAAAAAGCCGGUCUCAGUUCGGAUUGGGGUCUGCAACUCGACCCUAUGAAGUCGGAGUCGCUAGUAAUCGCAGAUCAGCAAUGCUGCGGUGAAUACGUUCCCGGGCCUUGUACACACCGCCCGUCAAGUCACGAAAGUCGGUAACACCCGAAGCCGAUGGCCCAAGCUUUAUGCAGGGAGUCGUCGAAGGUGGGAUCGGUGAUUGGGACUAAGUCGUAACAAGGUAGCCGUACCGGAAGGUGCGGCUGGAUCACCUCCUUU